UACGUAGGGUGCAAGCGUUAAUCGGAAUUACUGGGCGUAAAGCGUGCGCAGGCGGUUCGGAAAGAAAGGUGUGAAAUCCCCGGGCUUAACCUGGGAACGGCACUUUUAACUACCGAGCUAGAGUGUGUCAGAGGGGGGUGGAAUUCCGCGUGUAGCAGUGAAAUGCGUAGAGAUGCGGAGGAACACCGAUGGCGAAGGCAGCCCCCUGGGAUAACACUGACGCUCAUGCACGAAAGCGUGGGGAGCAAACAGG
rnacentral:rRNA from 1 species